AUGAUAACGAGAAUAAUAAUAGAGACUCCAGUGAGGGGUCCACCUUGUUCAUAGUCAGAAGACUGAAGUUAACAAAAAUGUACCACGUAAAUUAUUCUUUCUGCCACUGUCAUUCAUGACCUACGAAAACAGCAACUGCGUAUGGUUUAACCUAAGAAGCACAAAAGUGACAAUUUAGUGUCAGCAAGGUGACAUCCAUCACAAGGAUGUUUCUUUUUUUUUUUGAGAGAGAGAGAGAGAGAUCGCACGUGAGCACGAGUGGGGGAGGGGCAGAGGGAGAGAGAAUCUCAAGCAGGCUCCAUGCUCAGCGUAGAGCCCAAUACGGAGCUUGAUCUCGUGACGGCAAGAUCGUGACCCGAACUGAAAUCAAGAGUCAGGCACUUAACCCACCGAGCUUCUCCAAUUAAUGCUUCGUAAUUUGAAUUUUACUCUUCGGUGUCUCUGUUUUUAUUUGUGCAUUCGUUGGCCGUAUGGCUUAUGUAAGAAUUAAAAGCAUAAAAAGUUGAUUCCUAGUUUAAUGUUUAUAACAUUGAAGUAAAAAUAACAUAAAUACCGGAACACCACAAGAACAUGUUCUUUAACAGAGCUCUGUAUCAUUGCUCACUUUUGGUAAACAUUGAUCUGAAUAUUCCUACCACAAACGUUCAGGCUGGGUUUCUUUUCUUGUUAUCACCUGCUCUCAGCCCUGAAUGCGAGAAGUUUCACAAAUAUUCCAGAACUGCAUUUUAAGCCUCAAACUCAUGAAGUAUCAGAUUUGUAACUGAAGGUGAUGGUCUUUAAUUCCUCAGUGUGUUUCCAGUUCAAGUGAACCCCAAAGUAGAAGGGGAUCCCCCACAAAAAAAAAAAGUCAAGCAGAGUCAUUCCGUGUAGGCCUCUGGCAGAACUCCACGGGUCAGCUGUAAGGAAGCGGCACCCGAACCUGACCUUGGGCGCUAGCGCCCACGUAACCGAAUCGGUAGCUGCCCGCCGCUAACAGGAAGCUGGUCGUCCACACUCCGGCUCAGGACGAAGCAAGCAUUUCUUUCUUUGAGCUUUCGGGGCCAGUUAGGAUGCUUACAACCAGGGGCCAAUCCUGCCGCGGGCAUCAGCUGCGCAGAUGUUUACUUUCUCCUGGCUCCCACCGCAAAAUGGGUCUGAUGAUAGAGGGCGCGCCCCCUAGCGUGAGGGCUGGGUAGCUUCAAGGGGACACAGAAGGUGCUGGCACGCGGUAAACAUUCAGUGACCGUUGGCUGCCAGCGUCAUGACUUCUUCUACAAUUACUGUCAUUGCUACUGCUGCCGCAGGGGAGGGCCAAGGGACCUACGCCUUCCGCAUUUCACAGCUUCGUUUAAUCCGUAUAGCCUGAAAGUCCGGGACACCUUUAAACUCCUGAAGAACCUUCGCACGUGACUUCGGCUGCAAGCAGGUUUCCCUUGGCCUUCAUUAUUUGCCACUGGAAAAUGCUGUAAAUGACAUCAGACAGACUUCAGACGCCACCUCUGGAACUAAGAAACGAAGCAGUUAUUCAGAGCACCGGUGAUUGUCAUUUUAGAAGAAAUAAGAAAUCAGUAUCGCA